AGCUUGAUGAUGAUUGUCUCCUGUGAUUGCUUGCUGAAAGCAAAGUGAUCGAUCAUUUCACCGACACUGAAAGCA
ensembl:snoRNA small nucleolar RNA, C/D box 102